rnacentral:rRNA from 1 species
GAUGAACGCUGGCGGCGCGCCUAACACAUGCAAGUCGAACGAUUAAAGCACCUUCGGGUGUGUAUAAAGUGGCGAACGGCUGAGUAACACGUGGGCAACCUGCCCCUCUCAUUGGGAUAGCCACGGGAAACCGUGGAUAAUACCGAAUACUUCGGGACUUCCGCAUGGAAGACUCGAGAAAGCUCCGGCGGAGAGGGAUGGGCCCGCGGCCUGUUAGCUUGUUGGUGGGGUAAUGGCCUACCAAGGCAAUGAUGGGUAGCUGGGUUGAGAGACCGACCAGCCAGAUUGGGACUGAGACACGGCCCAGACUCCUACGGGAGGCAGCAGUGGGAAUCUUGCACAAUGGGCGAAAGCCUGAUGCAGCGACGCCGCGUGCGGGAUGAAGGCCUUCGGGUUGUAAACCGCUUUCAGCAGGGACGAGGCGAAAGUGACGGUACCUGCAGAAGAAGCCCCGGCUAACUACGUG